GGGUGAGUAACACGUAGGUAACCUGCCCAGAAGCGGGGGACAACAUUUGGAAACAGAUGCUAAUACCGCAUAACAACGUUGUUCGCAUGAACAACGCUUAAAAGAUGGCUUCUCGCUAUCACUUCUGGAUGGACCUGCGGUGCAUUAGCUUGUUGGUGGGGUAAUGGCCUACCAAGGCGAUGAUGCAUAGCCGAGUUGAGAGACUGAUCGGCCACAAUGGGACUGAGACACGGCCCAUACUCCUACGGGAGGCAGCAGUAGGGAAUCUUCCACAAUGGGCGCAAGCCUGAUGGAGCAACACCGCGUGAGUGAAGAAGGGUUUCGGCUCGUAAAGCUCUGUUGUUAAAGAAGAACACGUAUGAGAGUAACUGUUCAUACGUUGACGGUAUUUAACCAGAAAGUCACGGCUAACUACGUGCCAGCAGCCGCGGUAAUACGUAGGUGGCAAGCGUUAUCCGGAUUUAUUGGGCGUAAAGAGAGUGCAGGCGGUUUUCUAAGUCUGAUGUGAAAGCCUUCGGCUUAACCGGAGAAGUGCAUCGGAAACUGGAUAACUUGAGUGCAGAAGAGGGUAGUGGAACUCCAUGUGUAGCGGUGGAAUGCGUAGAUAUAUGGAAGAACACCAGUGGCGAAGGCGGCUACCUGGUCUGCAACUGACGCUGAGACUC
rnacentral:rRNA from 1 species